GCAUCUAUAGCUCAGUGGCAGAGCGGUGGGGCGUUUACCCAUGCGGCCCGGGUUCGAUUCCCGGUCGAUGUA